AUGUAGGGCAAUCUGUCUUUAAGUAGGGUUUAAGUAGGGGUAAAUUACUCUUGAACAAGAUGAUCCUAGAUAGUUUUCCCUUCAAGUCAAGCGUCUUGU
rnacentral:pre_miRNA from 1 species